GAAAAAAAGGGGAACUCAUCUUGAAGUGGCAUCUUUAAAGAGACUCUCAAGGAGUUAAAGAUACCAAGAGGACCAGAAGCUGAUGCCAAGAAUCCAUGGAAUGAUGUCCACAGAGCAUAAUGGCACAAUUGUCUUAUAGAACAAGAUUGAAAAGAGCUGGAGGACGGGAAAGGGUGUGGCGUCUAUAAAAAUGAAAAACGUUAUUCAUGGAUUCAAAUUUAUGCCUAAAAUGAAUUAGAUGCAAUAUUUCAUUCUCAGAUUUCAGGCAAAAGUUAGAAACUAGUUAAAUAGUGACAGGAUUUUCAGAGAAAUCUGGCAAAAUCUCUGGGAUUUUUCUUCUCAUCCACCUCAAGUAUUCUUAGCAGGAGUCCUUUAUUCUUCUCUUGGAGGUGAAAGAAAAAACACACUUGUUAUCAAAGCAACAAAUCUGCAAAAUCCCCUUCCAUUGUCCUUUUUAGGACAUCAUGAGGCUAGUCUUCUCAUUCCCCUGAAAACCUGUCACUUCCCACACUCAUCUGGAAGGCCUUGUUGGACUCUAUUACCAUGAAACACAUACCAUGGAUAACAAGAGAAAACAAACACCUGUCCAAAUGACAGUCUACAGCGUGGGUUUUGUCUUCUCAUCAGAUGGACUCCAUGGUCAUCGUGCUCCCCCAGCUACUAUUAAAUCUCUCGUUGUAGAUUUGUGAGCAUCACAGGCCAGCAAGUGGCUCUAGCAUUAACAUUCUGCAACACUAAAGUCCCACCUUCAAGCUGACACAGACUGUCCCAAUAGCAGGCAGGCCAGGAGAGGUCUUGCCUCUCUUCAUGUUUCAGAUUAUGACAAACUAGGCAAUGGAACUAUGUCUGGAGCCUGCUUCUCCCAAACACUCCUCACGAACGUCCUUACAACAGAUUUUCCAGGAACAAAGCCAAAGAAAAAGGGUG
rnacentral:lncRNA from 1 species